rnacentral:rRNA from 1 species
CGCGGCCUAUCAGCUUGUUGGUGGGGUAAUGGCCUACCAAGGCGACGACGGGUAGCCGGCCUGAGAGGGUGAUCGGCCACACUGGGACUGAGACACGGCCCAGACUCCUACGGGAGGCAGCAGUGGGGAAUAUUGCACAAUGGGCGAAAGCCUGAUGCAGCGACGCCGCGUGGGGGAUGACGGUCUUCGGAUUGUAAACUCCUUUCAGUAGGGACGAAGCGAAAGUGACGGUACCUGCAGAAGAAGCACCGGCCAACUACGUGCCAGCAGCCGCGGUAAUACGUAGGGUGCAAGCGUUGUCCGGAAUUACUGGGCGUAAAGAGCUCGUAGGCGGUUUGUCACGUCGUCUGUGAAAUCCUCCAGCUCAACUGGGGGCGUGCAGGCGAUACGGGCAGACUUGAGUACUACAGGGGAGACUGGAAUUCCUGGUGUAGCGGUGAAAUGCGCAGAUAUCAGGAGGAACACCGGUGGCGAAGGCGGGUCUCUGGGUAGUAACUGACGCUGAGGAGCGAAAGCAUGGGGAGCAAACAGGAUUAGAUACCCUGGUAGUCCAUGCCGUAAACGGUGGGCGCUAGGUGUGGGGUCCUUCCACGGAUUCCGUGCCGUAGCUAACGCAUUAAGCGCCCCGCC